CAUAACAAUAAAGCUGAUAUGUGUAGAACUAAAUGAUCUCUGGCCUCUGGAGCCCUUUGGUACCAUCACAGAAGAUGCUGUGUGCGAUGGCACUGAAUUAGUGUGUAUUGUCGCUGUUGAGCAGAAACCUUGUAUGUUCCAGAAACAACAUUAAGGGAAAUGUGUAGAAAACGUGCUUUUUAAAGCAGAUGACCACAACAUUGUCAAAGUUAACAUUUUAUCUCUGUAUUAGGUAGUUGAAUGUAUGAUAUUUGUAACAUGCUGCUCAAAAAAUGAAGUUGUAGAGUUUUGGACUUAACCAUGUUCAACAUUGGUUGGUCUUUACCAGUGCAUAUACGGCAGUCAGUGGAUAGCAUCACUUUAUCAUUUAGUUACCAUGUUUGCAGACUCACACAGAUUUUAUUUAUUUAUAUAGAAAAAUAUUGUUUAUUUGUGUAAGAAGGUUUUGCAGCUCUUGCAGGGUAAGUUGUUUAAUGGUGCUGCUGGAUUCUUUUUUGACAGCUAAAUGAAGUAGCUGUCUUUGACAGACUUUGGCUCUGUACUGCUUCUUUCUGGUGGGGGCAAAAAGAAAUGCAAAUAAAUUAAACACUAUUAAAGAAAUGCUAGUUAAGUUCAUUAAGUAGUUCCAGGAUGGAGGCUUGGUGGAAAUAUAAAUUUUUUCAGAUAUCCAGUGGAGUAAUCGGAUUUUUUAACAAUCUGUUUUUAUUUAUUUUUUUUAUUGACCUGUUACCUUCAGAGCCA